CAGAGUUCAUGCCCUCACGGGUAGACCUCCCACCCUUGUGUUAUUAUACUAUGUUGCUUUGGCGGGCCGCGAGGCUCACGCCGCGCCCUGGGCUCUCGAGCCUGGGUGUGCCCGCCAGAGGAUAUCUAAAUUCUGAAUGUUAGUGUCGUCUGAGUAAUUAUAUAAUAAUUA
rnacentral:misc_RNA from 2 species